GUGGGUGUUUCAGGGGCCAACCAGUCCUAUGAGCUCAGGGAACCAGGGCCCAGAAGCUACAGCCAGCACAACGGCCCCUUCCGUCUUCCCUCUGGCUUCUGGAUGUGUGGACACUGGCUCCAUGUUGACUCUGGGAUGCCUGGUCAAGGGCUAUUUCCCCGAGCCCGUGACCAUGACAUGGAACUCAGGAUCCCUGACCAGCGGAGUGCACACUUUCCCAGCCAUCCUUCAGUCGGGCCUGUACUCGCUCACCAGCAUGGUAACUGUGCCCUCCAGCCAGAAGAAGGCCACCUGCAACGUAGCCCACCCGGCCAGCAGCACCAAGGUGGACAAGGUCGUUGAGCCCAGACCCCGAGUACCUGGACCCACGUGUCCCACAUGUCCCAAGUGCCCACCUCCUAACCUCCUGGGAGGACCAUCUGUCUUCAUCUUCCCCCCAAGGCCCAAGGACACGCUCAUGAUCUCCCUGACCCCCAAGAUCACGUGUGUUGUGGUAGAUGUGAGCCAAGAUGAGCCUGAUGUCCAGUUCACAUGGUUCGUGGACAACAAGCAGGUCAACACAGCUGAGACAAAGCCCCGGGAGGAACAAUUCAACACCACCUUCCGCGUGGUCAGUGUCCUCCCCAUCCUACACCAAGACUGGCUCAAUGGCAAGGAGUUCAAGUGCAAGGUCAACAACAGAGCCCUGCCAGCCCCCGUUGAGAAGACCAUAUCCAAAGUCAGAGGGGAAGCCCGGGAGCCUGACGUGUAUACCCUGCCCCCAGCCCGAGAGGAGCUGUCCAAGAACAAAGUCAGUUUGACCUGCCUGGUCACUGGCUUCUUUCCUUCUGACAUCCACGUGGAGUGGGCGAGCAAUGGGCAUCCAGUGAAUAUACAGGACUACAAGACCACCCCACCCAUGAAGGAC